GUGGGGAAUAUUGGACAAUGGGCGAAAGCCUGAUCCAGCCAAGCCGCGUGAGUGAUGAAGGCCUUAGGGUUGUAAAGCUCUUUCAGUAGGGAAGAUAAUGACGGUACCUACAGAAGAAGCCCCGGCUAACUUCGUGCCAGCAGCCGCGGUAAUACGAAGGGGGCUAGCGUUGUUCGGAUUUACUGGGCGUAAAGCGCACGUAGGCGGAUUGGUCAGUUAGAGGUGAAAUCCUGGAGCUCAACUCCAGAACUGCCUUUAAUACUGCCAGUCUAGAGUCCAGAAGAGGUGAGUGGAACUCCUAGUGUAGAGGUGGAAUUCGUAGAUAUUAGGAAGAACACCAGUGGCGAAGGCGGCUCACUGGUCUGGUACUGACGCUGAGGUGCGAAAGCGUGGGGAGCAAACAGGAUUAGAUACCCCAGUAGUCC
rnacentral:rRNA from 1 species